rnacentral:rRNA from 1 species
UUAAGCUACUAAGAGCAUAGGGAGAAUGCCUUGGCACCAAGAGCCGAAGAAGGACGUGAUAAGCUGCGAAAAGCUGUGGGGAGGAGCAAAUAUCCAUUAUAUCCACAGAUAUCCGAAUGAGGAAACUCUAGUUAGGUAAAAGCUAACUAAUCCAUACAUGAGUAAAGUAGUGUAUAGGAGGGGAACGCAGGGAACUGAAACAUCUAAGUACCUGCAGGAAAAGAAAGAAAACUCGAUUCCUUGAGUAGUGGCGAGCGAAAGAGGAAGAGCCUAAACCAUUGGAAGUAAUUCCGAUGGGGUAAUGGACUACAUAAUUGAUUCAGGAGAUUUAGCAGAACUGUUUGGGAAAGCAGACCAAAGAUAGUGAAAGUCUAGUAAGCGAAAAAUCGAAAGACAUGGUAGUAUCCAGAGUAGUGCGAGACACGGGAAAUCUCGUAUGAAAAAGUGGGGACCACCCCAUAAGGCUAAAUACUACUUGGUGACCGAUAGUGAAACAGUACCGUGAGGGAAAGGUGAAAAGAACCCCGGGAGGGGAGUGAAAGAGAACCUGAAACCCUAUGUUUACAAGCAGACAAAGCACGUUAAGGUGCGAUGUCGUACUUUUUGUAGAACGGUCCGGCGAGUUAUUUUAUAUGGCAAGAUUAAGUACUUAAGGUAUGAAGUCGAAGCGAGAGCGAGUCUGAAAAGGGCGAGAAAGUCAUAUGGAAUAGACCCGAAACCGAGUGACCUAUCCAUGAGCAGGUUGAAGCUUGAGUAAAAUCAAGUGGAGGACCGAACCCAUAAGCGUUAAAAAGCUUCGGGAUGACUUGUGGAUAGCGGAGAAAUUCCAAUCGAACUCGGAGAUAGCUGGUUCUCCUCGAAAUAGUUUUAGGACUAGCCUUGUUUAGUAGUACGUGGGGGUAGAGCACUGAAGGAGCUAGGGGCCAAACCAGGUUACCGAACUCUAUCAAACUCCGAAUACCAUGUGCGUAAGAACAGGAGUCAGACUACGGGAGCUAAGUUCCGUGGUCAAAAGGGAAAGAGCCCAGACCGCCAAUUAAGGUCCCAAAGAUAUAGUUAAGUGGAAAACGAUGUGAUUUUGCGUAAACAACCAGGAUGUUGGCUUAGAAGCAGCCAUUCAUUUAAAGAGUGCGUAAUAGCUCACUGGUCGAGUGAAGUUGCGCGGAAAAUUACCGGGGCUAAACUAUACACCGAAAUUGCGGAUUUAUAUAGAAAUAUAUAAGUGGUAGAGGAGCAUUCUAUAGUAGGACGAAGGUAGAUCGAAAGGACUGCUGGACGAGAUAGAAGAGAGAAUGCCGGAAUAAGUAGCGAAAGCAUGGUGAGAAUCCAUGCCAUCGAAAGUCUAAGGUUUCCUGGGGAAGGUUCGUCCGCCCAGGGUAAGUCGGGGCCUAAGGAGAGGCCGAGAGGCGUAUCCGAUGGACAGCAGGUAGAAAUUCCUGCACCACCGAUAUACUUAAAAGAUGCAAGGGACACAGGAGCGGAAGGAAAGCGAGGAAGAGGAAAAACUCGUAUCGAAAGAUAUAGUGAAAAAUGAAGUAACGAAUUUCCAAGAAGCACACUGGCGAGAAAAGCUUGUAGAUAUUGUAUAAAGGUGCCCGUACCGCAAACCGACACAGGUAGAUGAGGAGAGGAUCCUAAGAUGAGCGAGAGAAGCAUUGUUAAGGAACUCGGCAAAUUGACCCCGUAACUUAGGGAGAAGGGGUACCAAUGUAAAAGUUGGUCGCAGAGAAGAGGCCCAAGCAACUGUUUAACAAAAACACAGGUUUCUGCUAAAUCGAAAGAUGAAGUAUAGGAGCUGACGCCUGCCCAGUGCUGGAAGGUUAAGGGGAGAGGUAAUCCCUCGAGGAGAAGCUUUGAACCAAAGCCCCAGUGAACGGCGGCCGUAACUAUAACGGUCCUAAGGUAGCGAAAUUCCUUGUCAGGUAAG